GGUGCGAGCGUUAAUCGGAAUUACUGGGCGUAAAGCGUGCGCAGGCGGCUUUAUUGACAGAGGUGAAAUCCCCGGGCUCAACCUGGGAACUGCCUUUGUGACUGGUGCGCUAUAGUACGGUAGAGGGGGGUGGAAUUCCACGUGUAGCAGUGAAAUGCGUAGAGAUGUGGAGGAACACCCAUGGCGAAGGCAGUCCCCUGGGCCGAUACUGACGCUCAUGCACGAAAGCGUGGGUAGCAAACAUGAUUAGAUACCCUGGUAGUCAACGCCCUAAACGAUGUCAACUAGGUGUUGGGUGGGUAAAACCAUUUAAUACCGUAUCUAACGCGUGAAGUUGACCGCCUGGGGAGUAC
rnacentral:rRNA from 1 species